UAGCUAGUUGGUGAGGUAAAGGCUUACCAAGGCGACGAUCUGUAGCGGGUCUGAGAGGAUGAUCCGCCACACUGUAACUGAGACACGGUCCAGACUCCUACGGGAGGCAGCAGUGGGGAAUUUUGGACAAUGGGGGCAACCCUGAUCCAGCCAUGCCGCGUGAGUGAAGAAGGCCUUCGGGUUGUAAAGCUCUUUCGGCCGGGAAGAAAUCGCAUGGGCCAAUACCCUGUGUGGAUGACGGUACCGGAAUAAGAAGCACCGGCUAACUACGUGCCAGCAGCCGCGGUAAUACGUAGGGUGCGAGCGUUAAUCGGAAUUACUGGGCGUAAAGCGUGCGCAGGCGGUUUUGUAAGACAGGCGUGAAAUCCCCGGGCUUAACCUGGGAACUGCGUUUGUGACUGCAAGGCUAGAGUACGGCAGAGGGGGGUGGAAUUCCACGUGUAGCAGUGAAAUGCGUAGAGAUGUGGAGGAACACCAAUGGCGAAGGCAGCCCCCUGGGUCGAUACUGACGCUCAUGCACGAAAGCGUGGGUAGCAAACAGGAUUAGAUACCCUGGUAGUCCACGCCCUAAACUAUGUCAACUAGGUGUUGGGUGGGUAAAACCAUUUAGUACCGUAGCUAACGCGUGAAGUUGACCGCCUGGGGAGUACGGCCGCAAGGUUAAAACUCAAAGGAAUUGACGGGGACCCGCACAAGCGGUGGAUGAUGUGGAUUAAUUCGAUGCAACGCGAAAAACCUUACCUACCCUUGACAUGCCAGGAACUUGCCAGAGAUGGCUUGGUGCCCGAAAGGGAGCCUGGACACAGGUGCUGCAUGGCUGUCGUCAGCUCGUGUCGUGAGAUGUUGGGUUAAGUCCCGCAACGAGCGCAACCCUUGUCGUUAAUUGCCAUCAUUUAGUUGGGCACUUUAACGAGACUGCCGGUGACAAACCGGAGGAAGGUGGGGAUGACGUCAAGUCCUCAUGGCCCUUAUGGGUAGGGCUUCACACGUCAUACAAUGGUCGGUACAAAGGGUUGCCAAGCCGCGAGGCGGAGCCAAUCCCAGAAAGCCGAUCGUAGUCCGGAUUGCAGGCUGCAACUCGCCUGCAUGAAGUCGGAAUCGCUAGUAAUCGUGGAUCAGCAUGUCACGGUGAAUACGUUCCCGGGUCUUGUACACACCGCCCGUCACACCAUGGGAGCGGGUUCCGCCAGAAGUAGGUAGCCUAACCGCAAGGGGGGCGCUUACCACGGCGGGGUUCGUGACUGGGGUGAAGUCGGAACAAGGUAGCCGUAGGGGAACCUGCGGCUG
rnacentral:rRNA from 1 species